UGGGGAAUUUUGGACAAUGGGCGAAAGCCUGAUCCAGCAAUGCCGCGUGUGUGAAGAAGGCCUUCGGGUUGUAAAGCACUUUUGUCCGGAAAGAAAUCCUUGGCUCUAAUACAGUCGGGGGAUGACGGUACCGGAAGAAUAAGCACCGGCUAACUACGUGCCAGCAGCCGCGGUAAUACGUAGGGUGCAAGCGUUAAUCGGAAUUACUGGGCGUAAAGCGUGCGCAGGCGGUUUGCUAAGACCGAUGUGAAAUCCCCGGGCUCAACCUGGGAACUGCAUUGGUGACUGGCAGGCUAGAGUAUGGCAGAGGGGGGUAGAAUUCCACGUGUAGCAGUGAAAUGCGUAGAGAUGUGGAGGAAUACCGAUGGCGAAGGCAGCCCCCUGGGCCAAUACUGACGCUCAUGCACGAAAGCGUGGGGAGCAAAACAGGAUUAGAUACCCUGGUAGUCCACGCCCUAAAACGAUGUCAACUAGUUGUGGGGAUUCAUUCCUUAGUAACGUAGCUAACGCGUGAAGUUGACCGCCUGGGGAGUACGGUCGCAAGAUUAAAACUCAAAGGAAUUGACGGGGUCAUAGCUGUUUCCU
rnacentral:rRNA from 1 species